CGCGGCGGGGCGGGGGCACGGGGGGCCUACGGGAGGCAGCAGUGGGGAAUUUUGGACAAUGGGCGAAAGCCUGAUCCACGCCAUGCCGCGUGCGGGAAGAAGGCCUUCGGGUUGUAAACCGCUUUUGUCAGGGAAGAAAUCUUUCGACGCUAAUACCUUGAGAGGAUGACGGUACCUGAAGAAUAAGCACCGGC
rnacentral:rRNA from 1 species